GAUUCGUGGCUCAGGACGAACGCUGGCGGCGUGCUUCAUACAUGCAAGUCGAACGAGGAGCAGUCUUCGGACUGUGGAAAGUGGCGGACGGGUGAGUAAAAUGUAGAGAAUCUGCCCUAGAGCGGGGGAUAGCAGUUGGAAACGACUAUUAAUACCCCAUAUGAGCGUACUUGAGAUAGUAUUCUUGAAAACUCCGGUGCUCUAGGAUGAGUCUGCAUCUGAUUAGCUAGUAGGCGGUGUAAUGGACCACCCAGGCGACGAUCAGUAGCUGGUUUGAGAGGAUGAUCAGCCACAAUGGGACUGAGACACGGCCCAUACUCCUACGGGAGGCAGCAGUAGGGAAUUUUGCGCAAUGGGGGAAACCCUGAACCGCAGCAACGCCGCGUGAAUGAAGAAGCCCUUCGGGGUGUAAAGUUCUGUCAGUGGGGACGAAACUUGACGGUACCCACAGAGGAAGCAUCGGCUAACUCCGUGCCAGCCGCUGC
rnacentral:rRNA from 1 species